UACGGAGGGGGCAAGCGUUACUCGGAAUUAUUGGGCGUAAAGGGCGCGUAGGCGGUCUCGCACGUCAGAGGUGAAAUCCCCGGGCUUAACCCGGGACCUGCCUCUGAUACGGCGAAACUUGAGUCCGGGAGAGGGGAGCAGAAUUCCCAGUGUAGCGGUGAAAUGCGUAGAUAUUGGGAGGAAUACCGGUGGCGAAGGCGGCUCCCUGGACCGGUACUGACGCUGAGGCGCGAAAGCGUGGGUAGCAAACAGG
rnacentral:rRNA from 1 species